rnacentral:lncRNA from 1 species
CGGGUAAAAUAAUAGUGUUUUGUUAUCUUUGUGUAUUUGAAAAAAAAUGUAUAUUUUGACUUCUUUUUACUUACUUGCACUUACUUCGCACGUAAUUCUGUAAUUACUUUGAGCAAACAGUAUCUUUAGGUCCAGCAAUUUCUAUACUGGUAGAAAAAGUUAAAUGAGUAAAUGUAAUACCUGAUAUUUUUCACCUUGAAGAAGUCAGUUUUCGUGUUAACAACAGCUGGCACAGAGAUUGCAUCCUUUGUGCAAGGGUUGACUGCAAAGGACUUCAACUAGCAAAUCUUUGCUACUCAAUAGGCUGCAGUCUUUUGGGGAGAAAAUGUGUUUUUAGUAGUAGAGCUACUACUUUCAUCAUCAGAGCCUUCAGCUAUGACAGCAGUAGAAACUGUUGAGUACCCCUAUUAGCAAUGACACAUUCUACCUUUCUUCGUUUGUUUUAAUAAAAGAUCCAGAUAUUCCCACAUGCCACUUCUUCCCUGUUUUAUUUACCCAGUGGAAGUAGUGCCCGCACUUUAACUCUCAUGUCUUCAGUGCAGUUUUAAUUUGAAUGUCUGCUAUUACGGACAUUUCUAUAUUGUUCUGAGGUCUCACCAGCUGCCACGAUCAAGUGGCAGCCCACCCCAAGCUCAGAAGCUCUGCUGAAAUCCACCCUUUGCUACAGCACGUCUAGGAUCUAUCCAUCCGCGGCAUGUCCUUGUCACAGGCAAGCCACUGGAGUUAAUCCCACGGUUCCCUGUAUUGCAUCCUACAUCUUCCAUCUGCAUCAACCUUCGUCCUCUCCCUGGGGAACACACAACUGUUGUUUUCAUCUUCGAAACAGUCCGGUACCAGGACGAGGAGUUGCUUACUGUGCAGGGGAUGCGAAUUCAGGUGAGAGAUUGAAGCCUGAAAGGCAUUUUUUUUUUUUUUUAUGAUGGAGAUGCAUUAUUUAUGUGUGGUUUUGAAAGUAAAAACAUAACAAUUAAAGAUGCAUUGUAGCCUUAAAGCAACUGUUUUGCUAUGCCAAAGUGG